AGGGCUGGACGGAGUGAGACUGGAGAACAACCUGGGCCUGAGCUGGGAGAGGGGAGACAAACUGUAAGACAGACAGAAGCCUGAGUUUGGAAUGUCCUGGGACGCCGAGCUGGGAUCCCUGGGGAGACAUCGGUGCCAUCUCCUUGAUCUCAUCGCUGGACAGGUUUCUCCCUCAUUCCGGCUUGGGACUCGGCAGGCUCCCAGCCCCAGCUGCUGCCAGUCCCACUCUGUCUGUCUGUCCCAGAGCUGGCAGCCAGGAGCCAUGCAGCUGGGAGCCGGGGUCGGGGGGCCUUCCUGGAGAGGGGGGCAGUUCUCCCAGCCUGUCUGCUGUGGGCCCUGGGCAUGCCUCGAACCCGUUCUCUGCAAACCCUUUCCAGCUGCAUCUCUUCACAAACUCCUUUGCCCGUGACCCCCUGAUACUGGUGCCCGGAGGCCUGUUUGGAAUCAUGUUCUCAGGACCUAAGGGACUUGGGAGGGGGCAGAGCCAACCAUCUGAUUCGUGAUCCCCUUAGCAGGGACUCUGGCUGUGCACACAGUGAGUUCCUGCUAAGAGCGUGGGGGGCAUGGGUGUCAGGGAUGUGAAAAGAUAUAUGUGUGUGUGUA